rnacentral:lncRNA from 1 species
GAGAUAAUUUUUUUUAUCAAUUAAAAUUUGAAUUAUCCACUUCACCUUUCUAAAUUUUAAAUUCUACUUUCUUCUUGCAACCUUAUCAUUAAAAGCAUAUAUUGGCAUCAUUGCUGACUCAUCCAGAAUAUCCCAUAAAUUUUAUCCUUUCAAAUAAGGCUUGAUAAAAGCCUUCUGCAUUGGAUAAUAGAUGUUGUUCAACUUAUAGAGAGACAUAAGUAGCAAAAGCCAUCAUAUCGAUAUUGGUAAAGUCAAGGAUCUCAAACCCAUUAAGAUAGAAGAUCGUUGCAUCAGCCAUAAUGAUUCAUCUCUUGAAUUACUAAAAUAAGAAUUCAUAUGCAUGCACCACUACACAUCAAACUAUUGGAAGCCCUUCAACAAUGCCAAGCUAUGAAAAUGGGAAUGACCAAUAAUCAAGUCACUAUUUCAAAAACUGUGCUCCAUUGAAGCCACAACCACUCAUUCACUCUCUGAGUCAAUGGCUCUGAUACUAUGUAGAGCCACAAACAUAUGGACCAUCAAUCUCAAAGCUUAUGGCUCUGAUAUCAUGUUCUUUGAUUUUUGUGCAACUAAAUCACUCAAUUCUCCAAGCUUUACCUAAGCUUGCACAAAUUCUGAUGCUGCAUCUUUUCCCUUUACUGCAGACUCACCCUAGUGUAUAUGUUGUGAUCAUAAUAUAUGGAAGAUGGUAGGAUGAAGACUUAGAUUAAAAUCCUAAGACUCUUAGUCACGAUCACCUAUGUUUGACAUUAAACCCUCCUUAAAUCUAGGCACUACAAUUUUUUUCCUCUCUUUUUGGCAUUGGAUUUUCCUCUCAUUUGUGUAUUGAGGAGGAGAUUGUGGUUGCAAUAUAUUGUGAUUUGGUUUCCAAAAGGUGAUGUACCAUAUCACCUCUGCAAAUUAACAUAUUCAGAUAAAGGUGAAUAUUUUUAAGCAUUUAUACAUUAUAGAAAUGAACAAGAAAUUAUAUUAAAUAACACUCAUAUCCACCUUCAGUGAGUGUUGAAAUGGUGCUAACAUGGCACCCUGUGAAUCAGCUACCUAGACUCAUACAAAUCAUAUCAAUCCCAUCAUGCCAUGUUGAGCGGGUAACUCAGAAAUUUAGUGGUGUUGGAUAACAAUGCAUUAUACAACUUUAGUUUGCUCUAUUAUAAUUAGGGUUGCAAAUAGGUUAGACUGAUUAAAACUCAGCCCCUACCUAUUUAGACCUAGCUCGAUUUGUAUUUAAAGACCUGUGGACCAAGCUUGGUGUAAAAUUAGACAAUCUAAAAAAUAGGCUAGUUCUAGAUUUUGUAUUUUCCGAUCCAACCCAACCUACCUUAGCCUAUAUAUCAUGCAAGUCUACUUUGGGGCA